CCGGUCUGCCAAGCCUGUUCAUUCAUCCAACUCGGCAAAAGAUUCACAGUCUCCGUCACUAGAAACAACAGGAAAAACAUGCCGAAAACUGCAGAACAGACUGGAAAGUUUGCAAACCCUGGUAGAAGACUUACAGCUGAAGAACCAAGCAAUGUCUUCAAUGAUCAGAAAUCAAGAGAAGAGAAUUCAGAAAGUGAAAGACCAGGAAAAGAUGUUACUGAAAUGAUGAGUUGCUUGCCUGCUGUCUACAAAGAGCUGACAUACGAUUGAUCGUGGUGUUCUUUAUAAUUAGUGCCCUGCAAACUUUUUUCUUUUUAUGUGAAAUUUAAUAAAAGAUACCCUGUCCUGU
rnacentral:lncRNA from 1 species